GUUGCUUCUGAUCAUCCCACAUCCUUCCCAACCUAAGCGCUUGCUGGGGGACAUGACAGAGUGGCUUUGGCCUGGCCUGACUAAACUCACUUCUCCCUAGAGUCACCACUGCGUGUCACGCCCAGGAGGCCCCUGAGGAGCAAGCCCCUG